AAUCAACGCUGGCGGCGUGCCUCAGACAUGCAAGUCGAACGAUUAAAGCUCUCUUCGGAGAGUGCAUAGAGUGGCGCACGGGUGAGUAACACGUAAGUAAUCUACCUUCGAGUGGGGAAUAACGUCCGGAAACGGACGCUAAUACCGCAUAAUGCAGCGGCAUCGCAAGAUGACAGUUGUUAAAGAUUUAUCGCUUGAAGAGGAGCUUGCGGCAGAUUAGCUAGUUGGUAAGGUAAUGGCUUACCAAGGCUACGAUCUGUAACCGGUCUUAGAGGACGGUUGGUCACACUGACACUGAAUAACGGGUCAGACUCCUACGGGAGGCAGCAGUCGGGAAUUUUGGGCAAUGGGCGAAAGCCUGACCCAGCAACGCCGCGUGAAGGAUGAAGUAUUUCGGUAUGUAAACUUCGAAAGAAUGGGAAGAAUCAAUGACGGUACCAUUUAUAAGGUCCGGCUAACUACGUGCCAGCCGCCGCGGUAAAAC
rnacentral:rRNA from 1 species